rnacentral:rRNA from 1 species
GGUUGAUCCUGCCAGUAGUCAUAUGCUUGUCUCAAAGAUUAAGCCAUGCAUGUCUAAGUAUAAGCAUUAUACGGUGCAACUGCGAAUGGCUCAUUAAAUCAGUUAUCGUUUAUUUGAUAGUUCCGUUCUACAUGGAUAACCGUGGAAAAUCUAGAGCUAAUACAUGCGUAAAUCCCCGACUUAGGAAGGGGUGUAUUUAUUAGAUAAAAAAUCAAUGCCCUCGGGCCAUUUGAUGAUUCAUAAUAACUUUUCGAAGCUCAUGGCCUUGCGCUGGAGCUGGUUCAUUCAAAUUU